UACGUAGGGGGCAAGCGUUAUCCGGAUUUAUUGGGCGUAAAGGGAACGCAGGCGGUCUUUUAAGUCUGAUGUGAAAGCCUUCGGCUUAACCGGAGUAGUGCAUUGGAAACUGGGAGACUUGAGUGCAGAAGAGGAGAGUGGAACUCCAUGUGUAGCGGUGAAAUGCGUAGAUAUAUGGAAGAACACCAGUGGCGAAAGCGGCUCUCUGGUCUGUAACUGACGCUGAGGUUCGAGAGCGUGGGUAGCAAACAGG
rnacentral:rRNA from 1 species